rnacentral:rRNA from 1 species
UACGUAGGGGGCAAGCGUUAUCCGGAUUUACUGGGUGUAAAGGGAGCGUAGGCGGCAGGGCAAGUCAGAAGUGAAAGCCCGGGGCUCAACCCCGGGACUGCUUUUGAAACUGUCUUGCUAGAGUAUCGGAGAGGUAAGUGGAAUUCCUAGUGUAGCGGUGAAAUGCGUAGAUAUUAGGAGGAACACCAGUGGCGAAGGCGACUUACUGGACGACAACUGACGCUGAGGCUCGAAAGCGUGGGGAGCAAACAGG